rnacentral:lncRNA from 1 species
GACAGCGCAAACCGAGGAUCACUCAGCCAAGCCGAGACACCCACUGACAGGUUUCGGCUUGCCGGAGGCCGUGCUCAUACUUCGAAGCACAGCCGGCCACUGUGGCAAGUGCGCGAGCGACGCGAACUUCAGCGAAACCGCGCGCACAGUGCCUAAACUGCAUUUAAUACGCACACUGGGGCUUCGCUGACCCAAAUGGAGGUGAGAACAAUGUUUGGCACAGAUCAUAGAUAAUCGUGCUCACUUCCGGGGGUGUCGGGGUGUCUCCGGAUCACCGGAAGGUGAUCGGAAUUCCAAAC